CCAUUAAGGAAUAACAACAAUCUCCAUGAGUUGGUAGUUUCGGUUGGGGUGACCUCGGAGAAUAAAAAAUCCUCCGAGCGAUUUUAAAGACUAGACCCACAAGUCAAAUCACUCUAUCGCUCAUUGAUCCAAAAACUUGAUCAACGGAACAAGUUACCCUAGGGAUAACAGCGCAAUCCUAUUCAAGAGUCCAUAUCGACAAUAGGGUUUACGACCUCGAUGUUGGAUCAGGACAUCCUGAUGGUGCAACCGCUAUCAAAGGUUCGUUUGUUCAACGAUUAAAGUCCUACGUGAUCUGAGUUCAGACCGGAGUAAUCCAGGUCGGUUUCUAUCUAUUACGUAUUUCUCCCAGUACGAAAGGACAAGAGAAAUAAGGCCAACUUUAAAUCAAGCGCCUUAAGACAACCAAUGAUAACAUCUCAACUGACAACACAAAACCCUGCCCUAGAACAGGGCUUAGUUAAGGUGGCAGAGCCCGGUAAUU
rnacentral:rRNA from 1 species